rnacentral:rRNA from 1 species
CCUGAACGCUGGCGGCGUGGCUAAGACAUGCAAGUCGCACGGUGUAGCAAUACACAGUGGCGAACGGGUGAGUAAUGAAUCGCUAAUGUGCCCCGGACUUUGGGUAGUAGCUAUCCGAAAGGAAUAGGUAAUACCAGAUGAUAUGCAGCUGUCGCAUGACAGUUGCCUCAAAGGUCCGCCGGUCUGGGAGCAGGCGAUUUCGUAUCAGCUAGUUGGUGAGGUAACGGCUCACCAAGGCGAUGACGCGUAGCCGGACUGAGAGGUUGGCCGGCCACAUUGGGACUGAGACACUGCCCA